rnacentral:piRNA from 1 species
UGUAUGAUAACAAUUGUAAUUCCUUUGAGA